rnacentral:siRNA from 1 species
ACACUUUUCCUUCUUUGACGAGAU